rnacentral:rRNA from 1 species
AGAACGAACGCUGGCGGCAUGCCUAAUACAUGCAAGUCGAACGAACUCUUCGGAGUUAGUGGCGCACGGGUGCGUAACGCGUGGGAAUCUGCCCCUUGGUUCGGAAUAACAGUUGGAAACGACUGCUAAUACCGGAUGAUGACGAAAGUCCAAAGAUUUAUCGCCAAGGGAUGAGCCCGCGUAGGAUUAGCUAGUUGGUGAGGUAAAGGCUCACCAAGGCAACGAUCCUUAGCUGGUCUGAGAGGAUGAUCAGCCACACUGGGACUGAGACACGGCCCAGACUCCUACGGGAGGCAGCAGUAGGGAAUAUUGGACAAUGGGCGCAAGCCUGAUCCAGCAAUGCCGCGUGAGUGAUGAAGGCCUUAGGGUUAGUAAAGC